CGGCACGCCUAAUACAUGCAAGUCGAACGAAGUAGCAAUACUUAGUGGCAGACGGGUGAGUAACAUGUAGGUAUCUUCCCUAUGGUGAGGAAUAACACGAGGAAACUUGUGCUAAUACCUCAUAAGUCUUUACGGAGAAAGCUUUAUGCGCCAUUGGAUGAGCCUGCACUUGAUUAGUUUGUUGGUGGGGUAAUGGCCUACCAAGACAAUGAUCAAUAGCUGAUUUGAGAGGAUGAUCAGCCACAUUGGGACUGAGACACGGCCCAAACUCCUACGGGAGGCAGCAGUAGGGAAUCUUGCACAAUGGGGGAAACCCUGAUGCAGCGAUGCCGCGUGAGUGAAGAAGGCCUUUGGGUUGUAAAGCUCUUUCGUCGGGGAAGAAAAUGACUGUACCCUAAUAAGAAGGUCC
rnacentral:rRNA from 1 species